CGUGUCGAUUAUUGGGCGUAAGGGAGCGCAGGCGGUCAGUUUAGUCUAAUGUGAAAGCCCACGGCUUAACCGUGGAACGGCAUUGGAAACUGACAGACUUGAAUGUAGAAGAGGAAAAUGGAAUUCCAAGUGUAGCGGUGGAAUGCGUAGAUAUUUGGAGGAACACCAGUGGCGAAGGCGAUUUUCUGGUCUAACAUUGACGCUGAGGCUCGAAAGCGUGGGGAGCGAACAGGAUUAGAUACCCUGGUAGUCCACGCCGUAAACGAUGAGUGCUAAGUGUUGGGGGCUUUCCGGCCCUCGGUGCUGGAGCUAACGUAUUAAGCACUCCGCCUGGGGAUUACGACCGCAAGGUUGAAACUCAAAAGAAUUGACGGGGACCCGCACAAGCGGUGGAGCAUGUGGUUUAAUUCGAAGCAACGCGAAGAACCUUACCAGCUCUUGACAUCUUCUGACAACUCUAGAGAUAGAGCGUUCCCUUCGGGGACAGAAUGACAGGUGGUGCAUGGUUGUCGUCAGCUCGUGUCGUGAGAUGUUGGGUUAAGUCCCGUAACGAGCGCAACCCUUGUUGUUAGUUGCCAGCAUUAAGUUGGGCACUUUAACGAGACUGCCGGUGAUAAACCGGAGGAAGGCGGGGAUGACGUCAAAUCAUCAUGCCCCUUAUGAGCUGGGCUACACACGUGCUACAAUGGAUGGUACAACGAGCAGCGAUCCCGCAAGGGCUAGCUAAUCUUUCAAAGCCAUUCUCAGUUCGGAUUGCACUCUGCAACUCGAGUGCAUGAAGUCGGAAUCGCUAGUAAUCGCGAAUCAGAAUGUCGCGGUGAAUCCGUUCCCGGGUCUUGUACACACCGCCCGUCACACCACGAGAGUUUGAAACACCCGAAGUCGGCCGGCCAACCCUAUGGGAGGCAGCCGUCGAAGGUGGGUUGAAUGAUUGGGGUGAAGUCGUAACAAGGUACCCGU
rnacentral:rRNA from 1 species